GAUCCUGGCUCAGGAUGAACGCUAGCGACAGGCUUAACACAUGCAAGUCGAGGGGCAGCAUAAAAGUAGCAAUACUUGGUGGCGACCGGCGCACGGGUGAGUAACGCGUAUGCAACCUACCUAUCAGGAGGGGAAUAACCCGGCGAAAGUCGGACUAAUACCGCAUAAAACAGGGGCACCGCACGGUGAUAUUUGUUAAAGAAAUUCGCUGAUAGAUGGGCAUGCGUUCCAUUAGGUAGUUGGUGAGGUAACGGCUCACCAAGCCGACGAUGGAUAGGGGAACUGAGAGGUUGGUCCCCCACACUGGUACUGAGACACGGACCAGACUCCUACGGGAGGCAGCAGUGAGGAAUAUUGGUCAAUGGGCGGGAGCCUGAACCAGCCAAGUCGCGUGAAGGAAAGAAGGAUCUAUGGUUCGUAAACUUCUUUUGCAGGGGAAUAAAGUGCAGGACGUGUCCUGUUUUGUAUGUACCCUGAGAAUAAGGAUCGGCUAACUCCGUGCCAGCAGCAGC
rnacentral:rRNA from 1 species